UACGAAGGGGGCUAGCGUUGCUCGGAAUCACUGGGCGUAAAGCGCACGUAGGCGGAUCUUUAAGUCAGGGGUGAAAUCCUGGAGCUCAACUCCAGAACUGCCUUUGAUACUGGGGAUCUCGAGUCCGGGAGAGGUGAGUGGAACUGCGAGUGUAGAGGUGAAAUUCGUAGAUAUUCGCAAGAACACCAGUGGCGAAGGCGGCUCACUGGCCCGGUACUGACGCUGAGGUGCGAAAGCGUGGGGAGCAAACAGGGAUUAAGAUACCCGUAG
rnacentral:rRNA from 1 species